GAUCCUGGCUCAGGAUGAACGCUAGCGAUAGGCUAACACAUGCAAGUCGAGGGGCAGCACGGUGUAGCAAUACGACUGGUGGCGACCGGCGUACGGGUGCGUAACACGUAUGCAACCUACCCGCUAUGGGGGAUAACCCGGCGAAAGUCGGACUAAUACCCCAUAUUAUUCUUACCGGGCAUCCGGUAGGUCUGAAAGAUUUAUCGAUUGCGGAUGGGCAUGCGGAUGAUUAGCUAGUAGGUGGGGUAACGGCUCACCUAGGCGACGAUCAUUAGGGGUUCUGAGAGGAAGGUCCCCCCACACUGGAACUGAGACACGGUCCAGACUCCUACGGGAGGCAGCAGUGAGGAAUAUUGGUCAAUGGGCGCUAGCCUGAACCAGCCAAGUCGCGUGAAGGAUGACAAGAUCUAUGGUUUGUAAACUUCUUUUGCAGGGGAGUAAAGUGCGACACGUGUGUUGUAUUGCAAGUACCCUGCGAAUAAGCAUCGGCUAACUCCGUGCCAGCAGCCGC
rnacentral:rRNA from 1 species